rnacentral:lncRNA from 1 species
AUUGAAUCCCGUUCACCCGUGGGUGAACCUUAGCUGUGGGCAAGUCGGCAAAAGAAAAGUCAAACGAGGGUAAAAAGGUAAUCCGGAUCUCCAUAAAUACAAAGCUGAAAGCUUCGCCGCCUAACAAAAGAAAAAAAAGCUCAGUGUUGGGUUCAACCUUUUUUUAGAAAAGAAAGCUCAGUGAGGAAGAAUGAGGGGAGAGGAAGCUUGGGAAUUUCUUAAGGGUGGUUACCUCUUCCUUUUGCCCAAUGAUUUCUCCAUCAACAAAUCGAUAACAACCCUUCAAAUAUAUAUAUAUAUGUAUGUAUAAUCUCUCUCAAACAAGGGCUAAAAGAGUAGAGAUGGGAAAAUUGCACUGCGGUACCAAACCUAUUGAUAUCUCUGUCAAUCUCCACUGCAAUAUUUGGAGUAACUGUUGGCAAAUAAAGAGGCUGUGAUGAUUUUUCUUUAAGUCUUCUGAGCUAAUGAAUCGGGGAAAGAGAUAAACUGACCCGUAUCUUGGCGAGGCAAUCCGGACGGCGUGUGAUUUGAGGUUUUUUAUACUCUCUCUCUUGCGCACGCAACUGAUGAUUUGCAGCCAUGGCGGGUACGCCUUUCUCUUUGUCCGAUCAAAAUACAGAUCUGAGCCUCAAGAUAUUCUUUUUUAGGGAUUCAGAUUUCGAUGGGUAGCUGUAGUGAAAUUGGUUUCACAAGUUCCUUUUUCCCAUUUAUUUAAACAAAGUAUCUAUUUCUGGGAAAUGGAUGGUAAUUAAUUUAUUUUUUCUUUUUUUCUUUAUUAUUAUUAUUUUAUUAUUAUUAUUAUUUUUUUUACUUAGAUAUCGGCAUAUUUAUUUUUUCAUUUUUAAGUAUUUUAUUGGGUAGCUGUAAUUUUUUUU